rnacentral:piRNA from 1 species
CAAGCCAAUUGCUUCUUCUGC